rnacentral:rRNA from 1 species
AUACGUAGGGGGCGAGCGUUGUCCGGAAUGAUUGGGCGUAAAGGGCGCGUAGGCGGCCCGGUAAGUCUGGAGUGAAAGUCCUGCUUUUAAGGUGGGAAUUGCUUUGGAUACUGUCGGGCUUGAGUGCAGGAGAGGUAAGUGGAAUUCCCAGUGUAGCGGUGAAAUGCGUAGAGAUUGGGAGGAACACCAGUGGCGAAGGCGACUUACUGGACUGUAACUGACGCUGAGGCGCGAAAGUGUGGGGAGCAAACAGGAUUAGAUACCCUGGUAGUCCACACUGUAAACGAUGAAUGCUAGGUGUAGGGGGUAUCGACCCCUUCUGUGCCGCAGUUAACACAAUAAGCAUUCCGCCUGGGGAGUACGGCCGCAAGGUUGAAACUUAAAGGAAUUGACGGGGG